rnacentral:lncRNA from 1 species
AGUUUGUAAUUUUCCUUUGGCUAUUCCCCUUUUUUUUUCUUGUUUGUUUUUUUCCUAGUCUGUAACUUUAAAAGGAUUUUUUCUUUUAUAUAUAAUCAGUAGGGGCUUGCCCCUCCUGUUCCUUCAAAAAAAAAGCUUAAGGGCUAAUCGACAGAACAAACCAUGAAUCUUGAUGCAGUAUAUUCCCGCUAGUUUACCAAGCAUAUAUCGCCUUCGAGUACCAUUAAUAAAGAUAAGAUCCCAGUCCAAGAACCGCACUUUUCUGAUUUCCCUCCCCAAAAUUCUAUCAGGAAUCAACAAAAGUUCACCAUGAACCAGCAAAAUCCAACCUUUUCGCGAUAGAAAGGAACGGUAGGAAUGCACUCACCGCGAAACCAACGAGCUGAAGAGGCGGCUUGCGAGACGGGGGCGGGGCGAGGAAGCAGCCCCGGCCUGAACGCUCGGAGGCGGAGCGGGGUAGUCAAGGCUGAAGGGAGCUUACUGCUGAUACUGUGGCGGAUUAGUUGGAGAUCGUUAUGGAUUUGGUGGACACUAACUGCUGGAGGUGGGGGAU